UUAAGCGACUAAGCGUACACGGUGGAUGCCCUGGCAGUCAGAGGCGAUGAAGGACGUGCUAAUCUGCGAAAAGCGUCGGUAAGGUGAUAUGAACCGUUAUAACCGGCGAUGUCCGAAUGGGGAAACCCAGUGCAAUUCGUUGCACUAUCGUUAACUGAAUACAUAGGUUAACGAGGCGAACCGGGGGAACUGAAACAUCUAAGUACCCCGAGGAAAAGAAAUCAACCGAGAUUCCCCCAGUAGCGGCGAGCGAACGGGGAGCAGCCCAGAGUCUGAAUCAGCUUGUGUGUUAGUGGAACGGUCUGGAAAGUCCGACGGUACAGGGUGAUAGUCCCGUACACCAAAAUGCACAGGUUGUGAACUCGAAGAGUAGGGCGGGACACGUGGUAUCCUGUCUGAAUAUGGGGGGACCAUCCUCCAAGGCUAAAUACUCCUGACUGACCGAUAGUGAACCAGUACCGUGAGGGAAAGGCGAAAAGAACCCCGGCGAGGGGAGUGAAAAAGAACCUGAAACCGUGUACGUACAAGCAGUGGGAGCACCUUCGGGUGUGACUGCGUACCUUUUGUAUAAUGGGUCAGCGACUUAUAUUCUGUAGCAAGGUUAACCGUAUAGGGGAGCCGCAGGGAAACCGAGUCUUAACUGGGCGUUAAGUUGCAGGGUAUAGACCCGAAACCCGGUGAUCUAGCCAUGGGCAGGUUGAAGGUUGGGUAACACUAACUGGAGGACCGAACCGACUAAUGUUGAAAAAUUAGCGGAUGACUUGUGGCUGGGGGUGAAAGGCCAAUCAAACCGGGAGAUAGCUGGUUCUCCCCGAAAGCUAUUUAGGUAGCGCCUCGUGAANUCAUCUUCGGGGGUAGAGCACUGUUUCGGCUAGGGGGUCAUCCCGACUUACCAACCCGAUGCAAACUACGAAUACCGAAGAAUGUUAUCACGGGAGACACACGGCGGGUGCUAACGUCCGUCGUGAAGAGGGAAACAACCCAGACCGCCAGCUAAGGUCCCAAAGUCAUGGUUAAGUGGGAAACGAUGUGGGAAGGCACAGACAGCCAGGAUGUUGGCUUAGAAGCAGCCAUCAUUUAAAGAAAGCGUAAUAGCUCACUGGUCGAGUCGGCCUGCGCGGAAGAUGUAACGGGGCUAAACCAUGCACCGAAGCUGCGGCAGCGACACUAUGUGUUGUUGGGUAGGGGAGCGUUCUGUAAGCCUGCGAAGGUGNUGCUGGAGGUAUCAGAAGUGCGAAUGCUGACAUAAGUAACGAUAAAGCGGGUGAAAAGCCCGCUCGCCGGAAGACCAAGGGUUCCUGUCCAACGUUAAUCGGGGCAGGGUGAGUCGACCCCUAAGGCGAGGCCGAAAGGCGUAGUCGAUGGGAAACAGGUUAAUAUUCCUGUACUUGGUGUUACUGCGAAGGGGGGACGGAGAAGGCUAUGUUAGCCGGGCGACGGUUGUCCCGGUUUAAGCAUGUAGGCUGGUUGUCCAGGCAAAUCCGGAUAAUCAAGGCUGAGGUGUGAUGACGAGGCACUACGGUGCUGAAGUAACAAAUGCCCUGCUUCCAGGAAAAGCCUCUAAGCAUCAGGUAACAUUAAAUCGUACCCCAAACCGACACAGGUGGUCAGGUAGAGAAUACCAAGGCGCUUGAGAGAACUCGGGUGAAGGAACUAGGCAAAAUGGUGCCGUAACUUCGGGAGAAGGCACGCUGGUGUGUAGGUGAAGNUGGAGCUGAGACCAGUCGAAGAUACCAGCUGGCUGCAACUGUUUAUUAAAAACACAGCACUGUGCAAACACGAAAGUGGACGUAUACGGUGUGACGCCUGCCCGGUGCCGGAAGGUUAAUUGAUGGGGUUAUCCGUAAGGAGAAGCUCUUGAUCGAAGCCCCGGUAAACGGCGGCCGUAACUAUAACGGUCCUAAGGUAGCGAAAUUCCUUGUCGGGUAAGUUCCGACCUGCACGAAUGGCGUAAUGAUGGCCAGGCUGUCUCCACCCGAGACUCAGUGAAAUUGAACUCGCUGUGAAGAUGCAGUGUACCCGCGGCAAGACGGAAAGACCCCGUGAACCUUUACUAUAGCUUGACACUGAACAUUGAGCCUUGAUGUGUAGGAUAGGUGGGAGGCUUUGAAGCGUGGACGCCAGUCUGCGUGGAGCCAACCUUGAAAUACCACCCUUUAAUGUUUGAUGUUCUAACGUUGGCCCCUNACCGGGGUUGCGGACAGUGUCUGGUGGGUAGUUUGACUGGGGCGGUCUCCUCCCAAAGCGUAACGGAGGAGCACGAAGGUUAGCUAAUCCUGGUCGGACAUCAGGAGGUUAGUGCAAUGGCAUAAGCUAGCUUGACUGCGAGCGUGACGGCGCGAGCAGGUGCGAAAGCAGGUCAUAGUGAUCCGGUGGUUCUGAAUGGAAGGGCCAUCGCUCAACGGAUAAAAGGUACUCCGGGGAUAACAGGCUGAUACCGCCCAAGAGUUCAUAUCGACGGCGGUGUUUGGCACCUCGAUGUCGGCUCAUCACAUCCUGGGGCUGAAGUAGGUCCCAAGGGUAUGGCUGUUCGCCAUUUAAAGUGGUACGCGAGCUGGGUUUAGAACGUCGUGAGACAGUUCGGUCCCUAUCUGCCGUGGGCGCUGGAGAAUUGAGGGGGGCUGCUCCUAGUACGAGAGGACCGGAGUGGACGCAUCACUGGUGUUCGGGUUGUCAUGCCAAUGGCACUGCCCGGUAGCUAAAUGCGGAAGAGAUAAGUGCUGAAAGCAUCUAAGCACGAAACUUGCCCCGAGAUGAGUUCUCCCUGAGACUUUAAGUCUCCUGAAGGAACGUUGAAGACGACGACGUUGAUAGGCCGGGUGUGUAAGCGCAGCGAUGCGUUGAGCUAACCGGUACUAAUGAACCGUGAGGCUUAACCUU
rnacentral:rRNA from 1 species